rnacentral:rRNA from 1 species
GAUGAACGCUAGCGACAGGCUUAACACAUGCAAGUCGAGGGGCAUCAUGGAUGUAGCAAUACGUCUGAUGGCGACCGGCGCACGGGUGAGUAACGCGUAUGCAACCUGCCCAUCAGAGUGGGAUAACCCGGCGAAAGUCGGACUAAUACCGCAUAACACAAUAGUUCCGCAUGGGGUUAUAUGUUAAAGAUUAAUUGCUGAUGGAUGGGCAUGCGUUCCAUUAGAUAGUUGGUGAGGUAACGGCUCACCAAGUCUACGAUGGAUAGGGGUUCUGAGAGGAAGGUCCCCCACACUGGUACUGAGACACGGACCAGACUCCUACGGGAGGCAGCAGUGAGGAAUAUUGGUCAAUGGGCGAGAGCCUGAACCAGCCAAGUCGCGUGCGGGACGACGGCCCUAUGGGUUGUAAACCGCUUUUAUACGGGAAUAAAAAGGGGGACGCGUCCCCUGUUGCAUGUACCGUUAUGAAUAAGCAUCGGCUAACUCCGUGCCAGCAGCCGCCGUAAAAC